ACUCCUACGGGAGGCAGCAGUGGGGAAUAUUGCACAAUGGGCGCAAGCCUGAUGCAGCCAUGCCGCGUGUGUGAGAAGGCCACUUCGGGUUGUAAAGCACUUUCAGUAAGGAGGAAAGGUUAGUAGUUAAUACCUGCUAGCUGUGACGUUACUUACAGAAGAAGCACCGGCUAACUCCGUGCCAGCAGCCGCGGUAAUACGGAGGGUGCGAGCGUUAAUCGGAAUUACUGGGCGUAAAGCGUACGCAGGCGGUUUGUUAAGCGAGAUGUGAAAG
rnacentral:rRNA from 1 species